rnacentral:rRNA from 1 species
UACGGGGGGGGCAAGCGUUGUUCGGAAUUACUGGGCGUAAAGGGCUCGUAGGCGGCCAACUAAGUCAGACGUGAAAUCCCUCGGCUUAACCGGGGAACUGCGUCUGAUACUGGAUGGCUCGAGUUUGGGAGAGGGAUGCGGAAUUCCAGGUGUAGCGGUGAAAUGCGUAGAGAUCGGGAGGAACACCAGUGGCGAAGGCGGCUACCUGGACCAGCAUUGACACUCAAGCACGAAAGCGUGGGGAGCAAACAGG